GUUGUUUUGGUGGUUUUUUGGUUUGUUUUUUUUUUUUUUUAACUAAUUCUGAAGGUUGUGAGAAUGAUUCUAGCUUAUUCUACACUAAAGGUGUACUGAUGUUACAUCACUGACUCUUGUUUCGUUAAGGCUCACCUUCACUUGGUCAAAUGGAAUGCAUGACUUUGCCUCAUGGCUAUUGAAACAAUCAAACCUGGUUGAGGCAGCAGGAGUGUUUCCAUGAGAGAUGGAAGAUGAGCCACGAGUGGGGUGAAUGGCAAGUCACAAAGCUGGAGCUGGGGCAAAGCUGGAGGCAGGUCAGUCUCCCUAGACCAGCACAUGGAUCCAGGGUGGAAAAGCUCAUCCCUGCUCAUUUGACACAACCACCUUUGCUUAUACAUCUACUAGCUGCCUUCAUGUGGAAUAGCCCCCAUGCUGCCUUGCAUAUAUAAGAUGAUCUGGGACAAAAUGCCACCUUGCCACCUCCCUCCUGGCUGCCCAUCCUUUCUUUAAAUGCCUUGCCUGGUUGCAAAGCUGGUGUCAGCUGUCAGCAUUGUACUGUGACUAAUGUUCAUUUUUUUGCACAAUAGAAUGUUCGACUUCUUAUUACCUAACUUUGGCCUUUUUGCCAUCUUCUAAUUUUCCUAUUUAUUUCAUACAUCCAUUGCAAGUGAUUAGCUCUUAGAAGUAGGAAUUGCUAGUCUGGUUUCCUCAGGAAAUAGGGUGAUCAUGUUCUGCACAUCCUCAGAUAAAUGUUGAACACACCAGUUGAUUUAAUUUGGCUGCUGGAGAGUGGGCUUAAAGCUAAUUGAAUUCCUGUAAGUUUUGUAUGAGCAGGCAGCCAGCUGGAGCAGAGAGGAACCCUAGAGUCACAUGCCAGAAAGAAAAGUAGCAGAUACAUUCUAUCUUAGAAGAUACCAAAAAAUUCAUAACGGAGAUACAGUAGUUAGGCACCAAAAAAAGUGCCUCUGUUUGUACCUCUAAAUAAUCAUGAGAAACAAACCCAUAAGAAACCUGGACUCUUCUAGCAUUUAUUAAGUUAAUUUUAGGUUGUUUGGACUGUGAUUGGGACAAUAGUUUUAGAUUCCUGAAAGGGAUUUUUAAUGUGUUGCUAUAGACCAUGAAAAAACUAACUGUAAUAAUACUGAUAAAGGCCGACAAAGGAAAUCUAAUCACCAAAAGUUCAUCUGGCAACUGGAGGGCACAAAAUCUCACCCCACAAUUUUGGGGUGCUUUUGCUGGCAGCAGAUUCUCAGCCCUCACCCACUCCAUUCCCCUUCCACAGACAACUUAAAAUUAGUCAGAUGAUGUGUAAUCCCACAAGAAAUGAGCUGGCUUGGAAAUGGCAAAUGCUGCAUGGAAGCCUGGCUCCAGGUUUCCAGCUCCUGACUGCUUACACAGCAAAGGUGAUAAGGACAGUUCUGAAAUCAGUGGGAUGUUUUGCAUGGCAACAAAUGCCUGCCCAGAACGGGACAAAAGGGAGGAUUUAACCACAGAUUGUCUCUUUUAUUCUGUAAAUAGGCAUUUUUCCAUGGUUAGGCAAUUCCAUAAAAAAUAAAAGUUAAUAAAAAUGAAAAGGCUUGUGCAGCAGUUGGCUGACAGGUUUCAUGCAGUAGUGCCGUGUUACAGAGAUAAACAUCAGUGCUUAGCUUACAGAUUGUCUCAACACCUGGAAGGCUGUUAUAGAGACAGGUUUAAUAAUUAAUUGCUAUUUCUCUGAGACAAUGUACCCUGGAUCUCUUAAGGUGCAUAUUGCACACCAGGUAACAGGAGGAGUAGGCAAAAGAGACAAAAGCAUUAGAAAAGAUAAAAAGACUGAGAUCAAAUGACAUUAUUCUUCAUGUCAUGGUGGAAAUGAGUCUAUACUCAGCUGAUCCUGCAUGGAGGUUGCCUGGAGGUGUUUUGAUAUACUUGAGGUCAAAAUACUUGUGUUCCAAAGUUGCUUUUAAGUAAAUGAUUCUCAUACAGCUGGUGGCAGGAAAGAAGAUGGAAACAGAUAAAUUCCUUCAUAUGACUGUGUUAGGUUUGUGUCAUGUCACCGUGCACGGCUGAAGAUAGUGAGGUGUUGUUUUAUAACCAGAAAAAUAUGAUAUCUGGAAAUGAUGUUGGUAGGUCCCUACAGGAUAUGUUUUCUGUAUGUAAUAUAUAUUUUUCUCAUCUAUGUUUAGCAGUACAUUUUUUUUGUGCAAGAUAUAAACCUAGCAAAAUUGAAUGCUAUAGUGAAGGGGGAAAUAAGAAAAAAUAUUAAUCUGCUGGGCUCCUUAAUGACCACAACCCAAACCACAAACCUGGACUGUAUCCUAGCAGCAGAGAAGCACUAACAUCAAUUUCUUUCUGUGCCCCAGGCACCUCCCAUGUCAGUUGCCAUCACUUACUAUGACUGGGGGCCUGUUUGCUAACAUAGGGGUACUGAGAACAAAGGUAGUGGCAGCUGAUGGCACAGAGCUGCACGUUCUGGUAGCAGUGAAACUCCAGCACUGAGUGUAAUCUUAUCACGCAAGCUUGUUUCACCAAAUGUAUAUGUUUACUGAUGUGAGCUUUCUCAUCUAAAUGAAAUUGAUUAAAUGAGGGGAAUUAUGAACACAUCUACAAGGACAGGACUAACUGCUGAUGCCUGCUGUGCUGGGUUUAGGCUGCUGGUGAUCAGUGUGUCUCUUGUCAUUGAGCAAAUCCUGUUGACAUCCUGGGCAAGAUGCAAAUCCUCUCUUUCCCCAGGUUUUUAUUGCUGAGGAGGAUCUUGAUUUCAGUGAGUCAGAUAGUGUUCUUUUGUGAACAUGUCGGCUCAGAUGGCUUUGAAAAAUAUGUUUCCUUAUGAAUUGAAGCUGGCUCUCAAGCUUCUUUGGUAAGCACAGUGCACAAAUUAAAAUACUAAUCAUGGAUCUGUGUAGUUAAACUACUUGUACAGAUGGAUCUGAUGCUGUUGGUUGCAUUUUCCUAUUGCUACAGCAAAAGGAAGGAACUCCUGAGCUGGAACAGGGGUUUAAUAGAGGAAAUUAUUUGGGAUUGCAACGGCCUCUCUAAGAGACAGUUGCCGAGGAAAAGCUCUGUUGGCAAGCUUCCUCUUGGUUCUUGUCCAGAUCCUCAAGGUAUAAGUCAUCCUAAGCCAACUGAAGAGUACUUUUAUAUUACCUGAGUUUCUUACCCUGUGCUUUAUCAUCAUUUCUGGUAGCUUUCAUCUGUUAAUGUGCAAAGAAAAACCAUCCUAGGCUGAAACACAGCAUUUAUCAAACAAGUCUAUAAACCUGUUUUCCAUAAGACUUUUGAACUAAUUAAUUUUGCCUGCCAUGGAGAUUUUAAAAUAUAUAAUGGAAAGUUGUAUGUGAAGAAGCAGUAGAAGCAAGACUGAAAUGGGUUUGUGGAGAUGAGGGAGUCACUCUCCUGGUUUUGAAAAGCAGCAAAUAGGUUGUGUGGUUUCAUAAUGUCUGGGGUUUUAAGCAAGCUCUGGAAUGUGAAAUUGUGAAAAU